UCAUGCUGUGGUGAAGAUCAACAGUUUAUUCUUGUUCAUCUUCAACAUCAACCAUGUUCUCUACUCCUCUACUGCUGUUACUGUUAGCAGCUGUUUCCUGUGUUCACUGUGUUGAACUGAGCCAGUCUGGAUCUACAGUUGUAGCACCUGGUCAAUCAACUACACUGACCUGUAGAGUUUCUGGAUAUUCACUGAGUGAUAGCAGCUACUGUACAAGCUGGAUACGACAGCCUGCAGGAAAAGCUCUGGAGUGGAUUGGGAGAAUAUGUGGUGAUGGUAGCACUCGCUACAGUGAUAAACUAAAAAGCAGGUUUGAAAUAUCCAGAGACACGUCCAGCAGCACAGUGUCUUUAAGAGGACAGAAUCUGCAGACUGAAGAUACAGCUGUGUAUUACUGCGCUCGAUACCCACAGUGAAACACAUCAACAGGAACCCUGUACAAAAACCUCCUGCUGUAGAAACACUGAGACACAUUAAGAGACUUUUAAAGAGAUGCUUUAGUCAGUGUCACAUAACAACCAGUAGGUGUCAGUCUACACUAAUAAAUAUGGCUCAGAUUUCCCAAACCACACAAUUACAAAACUCCAUAUUACCUUAUAUAAAAUCAGAACAGAUUUUGUGUUGUAAAUUUUUUA